GCUGGUUAAUCCUUUCGGGGUUACAG
rnacentral:rRNA from 1 species